GAUGAAGAACGCAGCGAAAUGCGAUAAGUAAUGUGAAUUGCAGAAUUCAGUGAAUCAUCGAAUCUUUGAACGCACCUUGCGCCCUUUGGCCAUUCCGAAGGGCAUGCCUGUUUGAGUAUCAUGAACACCUCAACUCUCAUGGAUUGCCAUGAUGAGCUUGGACUUUGGGGGUCUUGCUGGCCUGUGGUCAGCUCCUCUCAAAUGAAUUAGCUUUCCAGUGUUUGGUUGGCAUCACAGGUGUGAUAACUAUCUACGCUUGUGGUUUCCACCAGGUAACCUUCAGUAACAUGGGGGUUUGCUGGAGCUCAUAAAUGUCUCUCCUCAGUGGGGACAGCUCUUUGAACGUUUGAUCUCAAAUCAGGUAGGACUACCCGCUGAACUUAAGCAUAUCAAUAAGCGGAGGA
rnacentral:misc_RNA from 1 species